UGAGUACUCCCUCCGUUCGGAAUUACUUGUCUCGAAAAUGGAUGUAUCUAGAUCUAGAUACAUCCAUUUUCGAGACAAGUAAUUCCGAACGGAGGGAGUAAUAG
rnacentral:pre_miRNA from 1 species